GAGCCAGGGGUCUCCGCUCCAUCAUGGAGAAGCUCUUGCUGGAGCCCAUGUUUGAGGUGCCUCAAUCUGACAUCAUUGCUGUGGAACUGACUGAGGAGGUGGUCCAGGCCAAGUGUGGGCCACGCUACAUUAGAGCUCCUCCCAAAGAAACCGAGGAAGAGUUUGACUCGGCCUCUGAGGAAGACAACUGGCCCAGACACGCCGGCGCCGCCAACAACUGAACGUGAAUCUGCUGAGUGCACAUCACGUCAUUAUUCCUGAAGACAGCAAAAUGCCAUCACUAUGGAGUCCUUCCAGCUGGACCUAAACCGAGAGCGGUGUUUGUAGAUUUUU